rnacentral:lncRNA from 1 species
CCUUCCCCGACCACAGACCCUGGUAUGUCUUGUUCCCCUCUCUGUCUACGUGUUCUCAUUGUUCAACGCGCUACAGAGGUGUCUCCUAACACUCUGCACUUGCAGGGCUUCUCCUGCCGCCUGGAACAAUCUCCUUCCAGGUGCUGCCCUCACUUGCUCCUUUAUCUCCUUCAGGUUUUUGUUUAGACGUCAUCUUCCCUGAUCACCUCAUUUAAAACUGCACACUUCACCCUCAGCCUGGACCCCGUGCUCCAUUCCUGCUUUCUUUUAUCACCACCUGACACCCAAUAUAUUUUACUUAUUUAUUUUCUGUCCCCACCCAUAGAAUGUAAACUACACAAAGGCAGGCUUUUGUUGGUUUUGCUCAUGUAGAGUAGUGGUUGGCAUGUUGUAGGUGCUGGAUAAAUAUUUGUUGAAUGAAUGAGUGAGCAUGACACCACCCUCAUGCUCCUC